GUCAGAGUGAUGUAGUGGUUUGAGCAAUGGACUAUGAUUCUGGAGACCAGAGUUCAAGUCUCGGCUCAGCCA